UACAGGGGGUGCAAACGUUGCUCGGAUUUACUGGGCGUAAAGGGCGCGUAGGCGGCGCGGUAAGUCACUUGUGAAAUCUCUGAGCUUAACUCAGAACGGCCAAGUGAUACUGCAGUGCUAGAGUGUGGAAGGGGCAAUCGGAAUUCUUGGUGUAGCGGUGAAAUGCGUAGAUAUCAAGAGGAACACCUGAGGUGAAGACGGGUUGCUGGGCCAACACUGACGCUGAGGCGCGAAAGCCAGGGGAGCAAACGGG
rnacentral:rRNA from 1 species